GUAGGUGGCAAGCGUUGUCCGGAAUUAUUGGGCGUAAAGCGCGCGCAGGCGGUUCUUUAAGUCUGAUGUGAAAGCCCACGGCUCAACCGUGGAGGGUCAUUGGAAACUGGAGAACUUGAGUACAGAAGAGGAAAGCGGAAUUCCACGUGUAGCGGUGAAAUGCGUAGAGAUGUGGAGGAACACCAGUGGCGAAGGCGGCUUUCUGGUCUGUAACUGACGCUGAGGCGCGAAAGCGUGGGGAGCAAACAGGGAUUAGAUACCCCGGUAGUCCACGCCGUAAACGAUGAGUGCUAAGUGUUAGGGGGGUUUCCCGCCCCCCUUAGUGCUGCAGCUAACGCAUUAAGCACUCCGCCUGGGGGAGUACGGCCCGCAAGGCUG
rnacentral:rRNA from 1 species